CAGGGAUAACACUAGAGAUGUCCUCACCAAGUCAGAAGUUAGAGGACAGUCAGAAGCAGGAGACCAAAGGGUUUCUUCAAAUUUAAAUAGAAAGCCAUAUCCAGGUACCUGUAAAUCCAAUUGCUAAAAAUGCCUCCAGGCCAGUCCACUGACCCAUGAACACGAGGACAGCUUGAUAACAGAAUGUUUCAUACAGAAUGUGUGUAUGAUACGCAUUCGAGAGGAAGACCCGCGGCCAGCAGGAGAUGACCAUAUUAAAACUUCUUUUAAGCAAACAGUUACAUCAUGCAACAGGUCUCUUUCAGGACAGUUUCUAAUUACAUGGUGAGAAGGGCGUCCACUCCAUGGAAGGGCAAGUAUUCAUGUGAGAAUUAUGGCCUCUUUUAAUGGUAAGCAUAGUUUUGCAUCCUUAACUCCUGUUUCCUACAUCAUUCUGGAGUUAAAGUCUCAAAAUAUUACUUGAAUUAUUUGUUAGUCUCUUCCUCUGUCUCAACAGUACCUUUGUAAGAACUUUAAAGUCAUUUUCUUUCACUGGUAUUUAACGAAUGCUGAUUUUAAGGGGGAUCUAGUUUCUUUUUUUUCUCAUCCUCUUAUUUUUUCUUCCGCUGGUAUUAGUCUUUUCCGUUGCUUUUAUUAAGCUAUCUUUGAGUUCAGAAGGCUGAGAGAUUAUUUUCUUUUUUAAAGAAAGCUUGCCUACCAGCCAGUUUUAUAUUUUUCCCCAAGAACUCAACAGUCUAAUCUUUUUCCCAUUUAAAAUGAGAAUGAGUUUAGCAAGAAAUUGACUUGAUGUUAGGACAGGAGCUCCGGGAAGCUCUAAUCUCAGUGACAGCCUUAACAAACCAAUCCCGCUCUCUGGCCUCGUACAUAUUGAACAGGACCUGUUCUUUCUGGCCCUCCAGGUAGGAAAGUAAGCCUCUAAAGUAAACUGGCGAGGGCUCUCUAUUCACUCUUUUGGUUUGUUCUUCUGUACUUUCAGGAUCUUGGGUCUUUGCAAUAUAUUCCCUACCCUUUUAGAAGCAGAAGAAUGUAAAACAGGAAGUGGACUUUGGUUGCUUUUGAAAUGUUUGCUCUAGUUUUACUAUUAGGGCAGCUCUCAAACCAGUGACAUUUAGAAAUUUCUUGAAAUUCGAGUCUUUAAAGAAAUAUUUUGUUUUUGUUUUCUCUUUCCACAGGAAAAAAACUAAUGACGUACAUUUUGUGGGCUAGGGAGAGGGAGUCUUGCCUCAGAGAAAAUAGUAUUAUAAUGAUCUGUAACAUUGCUUAUUGGUUGUAUCAGUAAGUAUCCAUGCCAGUGACCCUCAGACUUUGGAGUACAUCAUAAUCACCUGGAGAACAUCUUAAAAUACAGAUUUCUGACCCCACUCUCAGCAUGUUUUAUUCAAUAGGGGAAGGCCGAGGAUUUGCAUUUCUAACGAGUUCCCAGGUGAUGAUAAUGCUGGUCCUGGGACCACUCUUUGAGAACCACUGAUCUAUGCCAUUGCUGUCAGAACCCAGUAGGAGAAAAAAAAAAAAAGCUCAAAUUUCUACGAGCAUUGUUCAUUGAACUAGGGGGUUAUGACUGUUUUAUAUCAUAACUGAAUUAACUUAAUAGGGAAAGUUAUAAACUCUGAUUUUAGAAUAAAUAAUUAUUGAGAUAAAAUCAUCAUUUAUCUUCUCAGUCUGGUGGGUGACAUUGCGCUCCUUUGUUUCUUACAAAAAUGUAUAUGUGGUCAAUUAUUUGUAAAACAAAAACUGGAAACUAAAAAGUAUAAGCUAUGUUGAACACUCUUCGGUUGUCUCAAAUACUUAUUGGAAUCAAUAGUAGAUUAUGAAGUUUUUUUCUGUGAAAGUAAGGAUUAAUAAGAUGCACUUUAUAGGAUUGUUACGAAGGUUAAAACAAAAAGUAUAUACAGAAUGCCUAAUAGUGUCUGACAGUAUCAGAUAAUCAAGAAAAUUAAUGUUUUAUUUUCAUUCCUUUAACCAUUUCAACACCAUUAAUUCUUUUUUUUUUUUUUUAACACAGAGUCUCACUCUGUUGCCCAGACUGGAGUGCAGUGGCCUGGGCUUGGCUCACUGCAACCUCCGCCUUCUGGGUUCAAGCCAUCCUCUUGCCUCCGCCUCCCGGGUAGCUGGAAUUAUAGGCACGUACCACCAU
rnacentral:lncRNA from 10 species